UGGCCUCUCAGAUUCAAGUGCAUGAAGUGAUUCUAGAAGAUUCAGACGUAGCAAAGGCCGUGUGUGAGUACGUCAAGAACAACUCCAUCGAGACGCUGGUCAUAGGUUCCUCACCCAAGAAUGGCUUCGUUAGGUAACAGAAUUACCUGUUAUUUAUACUCAUCGCCAUCAACACAUUUAUAUAUUAUGUAUAAGCACCAUAUAAAGAAGGCCUACUUACGAAACUCUCGACACAGAAGAUUCAAGACUGUUGAUAUUCCAGGCAGCGUCAACAAAAUGGCGCCAGACUACUGCACCGUCUAUGUCAUCUCCAAAGGGAAGGUCGCAUCCUGCAGAUCUCCCUCCAUUCCCGCUCAAAGAGAGCGUUCG
rnacentral:lncRNA from 1 species